GAACGCUGUCGGCGUGCCUAAUACAUGCAAGUAGAACGCUGAGGAUUGGUGCUUGCACUAAUCCAAGGAGUUGCGAACGGGUGAGUAACGCGUAGGUAACCUACCUCAUAGCGGGGGAUAACUAUUGGAAACGAUAGCUAAUACCGCAUGACACUAGAGUACACAUGUACUCAAGUUAAAAGGAGCAAUUGCUUCACUAUGAGAUGGACCUGCGUUGUAUUAGCUAGUUGGUGAGGUAAAGGCUCACCAAGGCGACGAUACAUAGCCGACCUGAGAGGGUGAUCGGCCACACUGGGACUGAGACACGGCCCAGACUCCUACGGGAGGCAGCAGUAGGGAAUCUUCGGCAAUGGACGGAAGUCUGACCGAGCAACGCCGCGUGAGUGAAGAAGGUUUUCGGAUCGUAAAGCUCUGUUGUUAGAGAAGAACGGUAAUGGGAGUGGAAAAUCCAUUACGUGACGGUAACUAACCAGAAAGGGACGGCUAACUACGUGCCAGCAGCCGCGGUAAUACGUAGGUCUCGAGCGUUGUCCGGAUUUAUUGGGCGUAAAGCGAGCGCAGGCGGUUCUAUAAGUCUGAAGUAAAAGGCAGUGGCUCAACCAUUGUAUGCUUUGGAAACUGUAGAACUUGAGUGCAGAAGGGGAGAGUGGAAUUCCAUGUGUAGCGGUGAAAUGCGUAGAUAUAUGGAGGAACACCGGUGGCGAAAGCGGCUCUCUGGUCUGUAACUGACGCUGAGGCUCGAAAGCGUGGGGAGCAAACAGGAUUAGAUACCCUGGUAGUCCACGCCGUAAACGAUGAGUGCUAGGUGUUAGGCCCUUUCCGGGGCUUAGUGCCGCAGCUAACGCAUAAUGCACUCCGC
rnacentral:rRNA from 1 species